GGGGGUCAUCCCGACUUACCAAACCGAUGCAAACUCCGAAUACCCAGAAGUGCCGAGCAUGGGAGACACACGGCGGGUGCUAACGUCCGUCGUGAAAAGGGAAACAACCCAGACCGCCAGCUAAGGUCCCAAAGUUGUGGUUAAGUGGUAAACGAUGUGGGAAGGCUUAGACAGCUAGGAGGUUGGCUUAGAAGCAGCCACCCUUUAAAGAAAGCGUAAUAGCUCACUAGUCGAGUCGGCCUGCGCGGAAGAUGUAACGGGGCUCAAACCACACACCGAAGCUGCGGGUGUCACGUAAGUGACGCGGUAGAGGAGCGUUCUGUAAGCCUGUGAAGGUGAGUUGAGAAGCUUGCUGGAGGUAUCAGAAGUGCGA
rnacentral:rRNA from 1 species